ACUCCACCAACAUGUGGGAGCUAGUAUCAAGCACGCACAUGCAGCUCAAAACACUUUGCUUAGCCACGCCCCCGCGGGAAACAGCAGUGACAAACUUUUAGCAAUAAAUGAAAGUUUAAAUUACACUGACUAUUAGAGUUGGUCAAUUUCGUGCCAGCCACCGUGGCCAUACAAUUGACUCAGGUUAAUAGAAUCCGGCGUAAAGAGUGUUUAAGAUUUUCUUCCCAAUAAAACUAAUCUAUAAUAAGUUGUAGAAAACCCCAGUUAUAGUAAAAUAUUCUAUGAAAGUGGCUUUAACACCCUGAAUACGCUAUAGCUAAGGUACAAACUGGGAUUAGAUACCCCACUGUGCUUAGCCCUAAACCUCAAUAACUUAACCAACAAAAUUAUUCAUUAGAACACUACAAGCAAUAGGUUGAAACUCAAAGGACCUGGCGGUGCUUUAUGUCCUUCUAGAGGAGCCUGUUCUAUAAUCGAUUAACCCUUACAGACCUUACCACAUCUUGCCCUCAGCCUGCAUACCGCCAUCUUCAGCAAACUCCUUAAAGAUCAUAAAGCAAGCACAAGUAUUGUCAUAAAAACGUGAGGUCAAGGUGCAGCCAAAGAAGUGGGAAGAAAUGGGCUACAUUUUCUAAAUGAGAAAACUAUACACUAGUCUUUAUGAAAUCUAAAGACCUAAGUUGGAUUUAGCAGUAAAUCAAGAAUAGAGAGCUUGAUUGAAAUAAGGUCAUGAAGCUCACACACACCGCCCGUCACCCUCCUCAAACAUCACAUUAAAGUGUUUU